CCUACGGGAGGCUGCAGUGGGGAAUAUUGGGCAAUGGGCGCAAGCCUGACCCAGCAACGCCGCGUGAAGGAAGAAGGCUUUCGGGUUGUAAACUUCUUUUAUCAGGGACGAAGCAAGUGACGGUACCUGCUGAAUAAGCCACGGCUAACUCCGUGCCAGCAGCCGCGGUAAUACGUAGGUGGCAAGCGUUAUCCGGAUUUACUGUGUGUAAAGGGCGUGUAGGCGGGAAAGCAAGUCAGAUGUGAAAACCAUGGGCGCAACCUGUGGCCUGCAUUUGAAACUGUUUUUCUUGAGUACUGGAGAGGCAGACGGAAUUCCUAGUGUAGCGGUGAAAUGCGUAGAUAGUAGGAGGAACACCAGUGGCGAAGGCGGUCUGCUGGACAGCAACUGACGCUGAGGCGCGAAAGCGUGGGGAGCAAACAGGAGUAGAUACCCGUGUAGUC
rnacentral:rRNA from 1 species